CAGGAGCCGUCAGUGGGCGGUCUGGCUUCCAGCCUGCUGCAGGGCCUCGAGGUUGAGCCAGACUACACAAGCGCUUGGACGGAACGGCCCUGAGUGCCCAUUCAUUCACCUCCCAUAUGGGAGAACGUCUGAGGGAGGAAGGAAACCGAGUGGGACAUGUGGAGGAGUGGGAGAGCGGAACAAAGACAAAGAGGCAGAAGUAUCCAUAUUUUAAGAAGAAAGGGUGAGUGGGAGGACACUUUUCAUGCCUUCACCCGUUACUAUGGAAGUCAGGUUCAUUAGUGACAACACUGAAAAUCUUUCUUUGUGCUUAAUAAAGAUUCAGUUGACAGUUGAAAA